rnacentral:lncRNA from 15 species
UCUGUUUGACAUGAUAAGGUGUUCAAAUGUAUUUAACUUGAAGUAUGUAUUUCCUUUUCUUCCACAGUGCUUACAAACAGUACCACCUGGCUAUGCACGUCUUCGGGCUGAUGACACAAGCCACCACGCUCCAUGAGCUUGAUGACAUAGUCCGCAGCACUAAUGUGGUGUUCUCGAGCUCAUGCAGUGGACAGCAGGUUGAAAAACAUUUUCACAACCUGCAAAGACUUCUGACCCCCUGAAAUAGAUGAGAGAAAAAUAGAGGAGGAAAACUUGGUGAAGGAUGUGGGACCAACACUAUUCCAAAGGCACUUUGAUCUUGUCAUACAUGACGGAGUUCUGGACCAAAAUGGUGAACCAAAUGUGAACCUCUGCCCAACAUUUGUGCCUUCACUAGAGAGGUACUUUCUGCCCCACGCUGCUCUUUGGUCUAGUAUCAUGCUAGGUGAUUUUAUCCUCUGCAUUUUCUGUCCCAUAUUAGUUUGAAUACUUUUCUCAUUGAUCUGUCACUAUUCCUGUCAUGGAUACUUCAUAAUGUAAUGUAUUUUAUUUGCUAGGUGACCUUAGCCGCCAUGGUAAAGGCCCUCUGUAUCUAACAAAAGAACGCAGGUCAUAACAGAACUUCAGAAAGGACAACCGUACCCAGGGGAUCAUGGAAAAGAGCCAGUGGGACCUGAAAAGGGUCCGUUUCCAACGACGCACUUUUACCAGGCUUGAUGACUUUGUCCACGCAUAUCGGUUGACACAUAAUGCCCUUUUAAGGGAGUACAAGGACUCUCUGCGUUCCAUUCAGAGGAAACACAGAGUUGACCUUGAAUGCUGGAAGCAGAGGAAGCACAAGCGAAGAGGAGUUUAUGUGACCCCUCUUUCAAAGGCAUUUGUUUUCAAGAGCCACAAAGCAAAGAGACUACUUCAAAAUGAGGAGGAUCUGCCACAGUAAAACAGACUGGGGGGACAUAAAACUGAAAGGGACUGUCAUGCACCACCCAGUCCAACAGGACAGCAGCAGUUGUGGUGUCAUAGUCACUAUGGUAAGAUAAAAAAUUGAAGAUAAAAAUAUUUUGAGGACAGCUAUCAUUUUAAGUCUAUACAUUUCACUAUUGUUAUUUGAUAUACAUCACAUAUUGUGUUAUUAUUUAGAUGACGAAGGCACAACCUCCACAACCUCCAAUAAUGAGUUUUAGAACAGCCAAAAAAGAAAUGGCAGUGCAGCGAAAACAAUUUGCUCUGCAAAUACUGAAAGCCUGAGGUGUGUGAAAGCAUUUUGUACAGUAAUUGUAUUGUGUUGAUGUAGUGUUCAAGAUCUAAAAUUUGCAUUUCUGUAUUAGUGUUUAACACAGAAAACAACUGUGCCAUGUGUGCAGCAACUAAACCACCUGCUCUAGGGCCUUCCUUCACCGACUGGGUAAGGAUUAUGUAACUCUCUCUCUAUCAGCAAAUUGUAGCAUUUUAACUAAAUUGGGCAUUAAAGAGAGAGAUGACAGUAAAUGGUAGAGGGUAAGGGGAAGGUAGACUGACAAAAAAGGACUUUUAAAAAAGGCCUCAACCAAGAGUACACGUUUUACUGUUCUACGUGCCAACAUAAUAAUGCAUAUUCUUUCAGAAAGUAAAUGCUGGACCAAAUCGGUUGCACUGACGCCAAUGCUGCUGACAGUUCUGCCAUUGUUUACCUUUUUCUUCUUCUUCCAGUGCGUAGAAAUAGCAAAGUCGGGAGCCUUUCCUCAGUAGCGCGAGGUGCCGCCCACCACGUGCAAGUAUAUAUAGUUAUGGCGCUACUGUGACGUCACGUUGUCGCGCCACAAGUCCAAAAGCGCGAGUAUACCGGAGCCUUUACUGUUGUCAAUGAACUACAGCACUACUGCUUUUGUCCACAGGGGGCGCCACUGAAGGAAAGUUCACAGCACUGUUGCUGUGUGUUGAUUCUCAGAAUGGGGAAGUGUGGGUAAAGACAGAUAAAGACAUGAAAAGCAGAAGUGAGUAGAGAGAAAUUAUUUUCUCAGAACAGUUUCACACUCAUGCUGUGGUUCAGCUGUUAAACUGGUUCUCAUGGUCAGAUCAUAGGUUGAUCAAUAAUCAAUAGCAUUGCUCCUGCUGCUCUGCUUUGACCAAUAAAGGUUGUUCUGGAUGAGAAUUGGUCCUGUUGCUCUUCCUGUGUGUUCUUUAUCAAACAGCUGCAGCAGCUGGAGGCAGUCUGAUUUUAAUUUGGCCACGCCCACCAGUGAUGUCACAGUGCACUGGAGUACACCUGUCCAUCACUGCAGUGUUUCUUCAUCACCUUUAAACGUGAUAGAAUCUGUCCUGAUAGGAAACUGACAGCCUAGAAAUGUUUUUAAUGUGUUAUUGAUCACAGGUGGCCUUCUGUGGCAGAACCGAUCAGAUCGAUCAGAACCUGCUGAAGACCUUUCAGUGUGGAUGGCAGCGGUCCAGAGGACCAGAGGCUGGGGUGCAGGACCUGAGGCCAGUGGAGCCAGGGAAUCAGACUGCAGCUCAACGGGAACAGGUGUCGGCCGCCGACGAGGAACCAGGAGCACAAGAGGAGGACAACUACAAAAUAAAACAGGAAGUAAGACAUGAAAACUACAAAGUAAAAGAACAGUAACCUUUCUGACCCUGGGGGGUGUGACGGUCCUUGUUGUACCUGGUUGUGGAUGAUGUCAGAGCGUUCCUUGUACAGGUGUUGCUGAUGUGAGUUGAUCUGUUAACAAUUGAUAAUAAUAAAGUUCUAGUUUAAUGUGAAUGUGCUCUAAAAGCUACAGGCAGUCCACAGAUGAUCCAACAGGAUGUAAAGAGUUCUGGUCCUGCUGCUGCUGUAUGAUCCGCUCCACUUUCUGUGGAGUCCCAGUGGGUCUCUAACCAACCUAUCCAGUCACCUGACCUGUGGGCCUUGCUGCUGUGGAGAGGUUGUAGCACUGAGGGUGGAGCUACCUGGUUCAGAGGAGGGCAGCUGGUGACUGAAUGAGGAAGUGGUGAAGCUGAAGGCGUCACUCUGCUGCUGACACUGACUGACAGUCCACAUCCAGACAACAUGAAGGCUUCAUCUGUGUCUCUGCUGCUGACACCGACUGACAGUCCACAUCCAGACAACAUGAAGGCUUCAUCUGUGUCUCUGCUGCUCGGUGAGUCCAACAGCUUCUACACUCAUCCAUCAUCACAGCUCACACACACUGCACACUCUCAGGAUCAGCUCUCAUUGAUCCAGGAUCCAUACUGACAGUAAUAACCAUACACAGGUUCUAACACUCCCAUUUAUUGAUAACAGUACACUGGAUCUGUAUGGAUUAUUGAUCAGUAUACACUGUAUCUUUAUAGAUUAAUGAUCAGUAUACACUGUAUCUGUAUGGAUUAUUGAUCAGAAUACACUGUAUAUGUAUGGAUGAUAUUGAUCAGAAUACACUGUAUCUUUAUGGAUUAUAUUGAUCAGUAUACACUGUAUCUUUAUGGAUGAUAUUGAUCAGUAUACACUGUAUCUUUAUGGAUGAUAUUGAUCAGAAUACACUGUAUCUUUAUGGAUGAUAUUGAUCAGUAUACACUGUAUCUUUAUGGGUGAUAUUGAUCAGUAUACACUGUAUCUUUAUGGGUGAUAUUGAUCAGUAUUAGGGAUCGACCGAUAUGGAUUUUUUAGGGCCGAUACCGAUACGGACUGCCAAUUUUCAAGAGCCGAUACUAUAUUUGCUCCCUCAAUUUACAUCAUCACAUCAAAAUUACACAAUGAUGAUAACAAGGUUGCAGCGAGAUUUCAUUUUUGUCUCAAAUCGUAGGCAUCUCUCCUUGAUCCGCUAGCUGCCUGCCCCCUGAAUACACUGUGAAAAAACC